rnacentral:tRNA from 1 species
GGCCCUAUGGUGUAAUUGGUUAACACAUCGCCCUUUCAAGGCGAAGAGUACGGGUUCAACUCCCGUUGGGGUCACAA